rnacentral:lncRNA from 1 species
GAUAUACUAUGCUAGCAUACGAAAAUAGGUCUGUACAUUUUUGAGCACCCAAAGUGGUAAGAGACAUUCUUGAAAACAGCUUAAAAAUUUCUGUAGAUACCACCACAAAUAAUCCACACAAUACUUCAACAAGCAUUUAUUAAACGCCUACUAUGUGCUCAGCACUAUACUAGGCACUCGGGGGUGCAGAGAUACAAAUGUAAAAGUUAUUAUUCCUGCCCUCAAGGAGCUUACAAUUUAAUUUUGGAAAUAAAUACAAAUAUGAAACUGUAACACAGAGUGCUAGAAAAUAAUUACAAAGCAACAUAUUAGUAAGUACAUGGACCACAGUACAAACUCAAAAGAUAAGUGCUGAGGCAGCACAGAAUGAGGGAGGUCAUCGCAUGAGGUGAUGUCAAUCAGGGAGAGCUCAGUCAGAAGAUAUAAAGGAAGAAAGGCUGAUGAAUAUUAGGCAUAGAGGUAAUGGAGAAUUUGGAACACCACUGCUCCAUAGGAAUUAUCUACUGGGUGUUACUUAGUGAAAAUGAAAUUUUACAAUAGAGAUAUUGUAAAAAUGGGUUUUGAGGAGGAGCACCUUAGAAACUUUAUACAAGAUGGGGAUCCUGGGAGCAAGGAAAUUGGAAAAAAAAGAAUUACAGUAACCUGGGCCUCAGAUCUACAUGAAAAGCUAUAAUGGGAUGAGAGAAAUGGGAGAUCAAGCCUCAAGGAGAAAACUGAUUAAAAACUGGACUGACAGCAAGUUUUUGGACAUGGAGAAUGGAGAGCAGAAAAAGAUAACUCCAAGGCUGGGGUAAAAAUAUAAAGGUGGUGACACUUUUCAGGGCAAAGGAAUUACGCAAUGAGGCCUGUUUAAAAAGAAAACGGGGGCUGGGGAUAUAUGGUGAUGAAUCCUGUUUUCAAAUAUCAAGUUGUACAGGUACCUGUGGAAAAUUCCAAAAGUCACAAACUGACCCACAGGGUGGGAAAAAUGAAGUCAUUCGAAUACAAAUAGUAGGUAUAAACAAUCAAAAUGGAUAAAUAGGAGAGGGAGAAUUCAACAAUAUAAAAUAUAAAUUAGAUCAAAAAAGACAAGAAAUAAUAAUAAAAAAAGGCCUUAUUAUUUGUCCACUGGUGAGUCUAAGAACAUUUCACUGGAAUGCUAAGUAUGAAAGCCAGUAAAAAGAAGUUUUAAGAACAGAUUAAUGAAAAAGGGGGGUUGAAAAAUCAAAGAUAUGUUUGAAAAACCAUGAACAAUAGAGGAGAAACAGAAUGGUAUUUGGAGAAAAAUAUAUUUGAAUUUAUUAUUGCUUUAUCCUCCCAAUUACUCUGUUAAAUAUGUUUUGUUUGCACAAUUUAGCUUUGUAGUACUACAAAGCAUCAACACUUAAAAAUGAUAUAAUUGUAACCCCAAAAAGCAUUUUCCACCAAUUUUCCAGUAAUUGUAAUGUAUUUGCACUCUACUGCACAUUCUUUUCCCCAGUACCUCUCAUGACAAGCGCUACAUAUUUUUAAAAAGCUGGUUAGAAUUACCAUGUUCAUUAUACACACCUUAGCACAGUAGUCAGAACAGGCUCUAGAAUCAAACUGUGUGGGUCAGAAUCAGUUUUAUCACAUACUGGCUGGGUGAUAUUGGUCAGCUCACUCAACUAAGCCUCCGUUUCCUCAUUUAUAAAAUGGGGGAUAAAAUAAUACCUAUUGAUAUGGUUUGGCUGUGUCCCAUCCAAAUCUCAUCUUGAAUUGUAGCUCCCACAAUUCCCACGUGUCGUGGGUGGGACCAAGUGGGAGGUAAUUGAAUCACGGGGGCAGAACUUUCCUGUGCUGUUCUUGUGAUAGUGAAUAAGUCUCACAAGAUCGGACGGUUUUAUAAAGAGUUCCCCUGCACAAGUUCUCUCUUUGCCUGCUGCCAUCCAUGUAUAAGACAUGAUUUGCUCCUCCUUGCCUUCCACCAUGAUUGUGAGGCGUCCCCAGCCAUGUGGAACUGAGUCCAUUAAACCUCUUUCCUUUAUAAAUUACCCAGUGUCAGGUAUGUCUUUAAUAGCAGCAUGAGAACAGACUAAUACAUUUAUCAUGAGCCUGAGAAAGGCAUAACAGGGUUGGGCACAUAGUAAGUGCUCAAUAAACGUCGGCUAUUAUUAUUUGGAGACUCAGAACCAAGAGUAAAGUUAACUGCUCUGUUUGGGAAUCAACCACCAUAUUCUAGCACUGCACCUUGCUCCAUGGAGAAAAUCUCUGAAACCUAACAUGCCUCUCCCAGGGCUAUGUUGGAUGGCAUUAGAGUUAUGAAAGAACCACCUUAUCAUGUCAGUUCCUAAAAUGAGAAGCUUAGGAUGGGAGGAGAAAGUACUGAUGAAUAGUUCAUUUCAGAUGAACAUAAAGAUAGAAUCUAUAGGAUAAAGGAGCUUAAUGAAUGCCAUUCACAGUUAAGAGCUCAAAAUGUCAUACAGCCUAGUCAAUAAUAUUCUAUGCUAAGAGUGUGAACUUGAGACAAAGAAUGAUUUCUAGUGAUGUCCUCAAAGAAUCCACAGCCUUUUUCUAUUGUCUUAUACCAUUUGGCUAAUUCUGUAUAUGUGCUGUAUCAGCUUUGAUAAUUCUUUCAAGACACAGUCUUUUCUCACACCCAAUAUAACACUAAUUUUUCUAGUCAUAUUAUUUUCUCCAAAUUUAUGCCACAUGCUUAGUAAUUCUGAGAUUUAAGUAAUCUGGCUACAUAUUACUCUUAAUACUGACACAUAAAGAGACUUUAGCUAGUACAUCUGUAUACAUUUCAAUGUGUUGCUCUGGUCUAUGGCCAUACCACCCUGAAUGCACCCAAUUUUGUUAAUAUGUUGCAUUGCUAAAAGGACUUU